UACGUAGGGCGCGAGCGUUAAUCGGAAUUACUGGGCGUAAAGCGUGCGCAGGCGGCUUUGCAAGACAGAUGUGAAAUCCCCGGGCUCAACCUGGGAACUGCAUUUGUGACUGCAAGGCUAGAGUACGGCAGAGGGGGAUGGAAUUCCGCGUGUAGCAGUGAAAUGCGUAGAUAUGCGGAGGAACACCAAUGGCGAAGGCAAUCCCCUGGGCCUGUACUGACGCUCAUGCACGAAAGCGUGGGGAGCAAACAGG
rnacentral:rRNA from 1 species